AAGAUGAAGACACUAUCUAAUCAACAGGAAAGUUAACUUUGUGGCCACAAGGUCACAAAAACUCUCUGCACCUCAAUGUUUCUCUGUAAGGUGAAGGGCUAAACCAGCUGUUCCCCAAAAAUCAUUCCAGGAUGCUUUGUGCUACUAUGCUUCUAAUUUUCUUUUGAGAAGAUUGUCAUUUAAUCAUAAGCUAUUCUUACGGGGAGGUAUUCAUAAUACUUCCCAGUCCAUCUCAUUGUGGGGGCUGGAAAUUUCUGCCCUUGCUACGAUGCUGUCAAAAUUGAACCCCAGAGCUCAGCUCCCAAGAAGGUUAACAUAAUGGUUUUGCUACUCAUCGUAACAACACCUCACAUCAUGCCUUCAGAUCACUCCCCAGCAUCAUUCUUCAAAUUCAAACGCGAACCAGAAGUGACAAAUGAUUCUUGUAAUGCGCUCUUUGACACAAAUCAUUUCUGAUUGCUCGGGACCCCAGACAACCUUGAGCAUGCAGAAUCAAGCUGAGAGGGAGAAGUCUUAGAAAAUGAACAGCUUCAACUUCUUGCCGAUGAGAACCCUCUCUCUGCUCACGAGGCAGGAGCAGUAUGUGCUGAUUGCCAAACAGAUCAUUUUUAAAAUGAUGCAGAUCUGUGGGGGAUUGGUCCGUGUGGUGAUGUGUCUCAUCUUACAAUGUCCUAUGCAGCCUUCAAAGCGUUUUUAGAUCCUGGCAAGGAAACAGACAUUCAUGUGCGUAGGGUUUGCAAGGCCUCUGCAUAUGAUGUUGCUCUUCAUCCUCCCAGCAAGCUUGGGUUUGCUCUGAGAAAAGCAGGAUUUUGUAGCCCUGGCCCCAAUCUUUGGACUUCUGCAAAACGGGAGAUCAGAAACCCCACAAUGUCCCCCCCGAACAGAGUGAUUGAGUGGCUGAUAAAUCUGUGGACAUGUGAAAAUGAAGUGCAGCUUGCUAUAUUAUAGCAUCCAAACUGCAGGGGAGCCAACAAACAUCUAACUCUGCCCACUCAUUUUACCACUGGGGCGAACGAGGUUCAGGGAGGAGCAGGGACUCACCUGAGCCCAGGAAUAGGGAGGCUCAACGGAAACUCAGGCCAUUGUUGCAAAGCACAUCCUAUCUGCAGUAAGAUUAUAUACGUGUAGCUGGCACAGGACCUUGCUAGCACAGGACCUCACUCCCAGCUCCUCCUGCAGCUCAACAUGGCCAGGUGACUGGUUCUCACUAAAGCAACCUUGGAAAAAAGCAGAAGAAUCACUGUCUAGGACCGAUGGAUGUCAUUGCUGCAUCAGUGUAGGACGUGACAUGCUACCUGUCCUGGAGGGCCACCACCAGGAGAGAGCACGUCACACUCUUGUGCAUCGGAGUGGAUGAAACUGAAGCCUAGAAAGAAGUGACUGCUCACAGGAUAAACCGGGAAUUAAAUCCACGCUUCCUCAUUCCCAACCCUGGCUCCUUCUGAUUCUUGCAUUUGAGGCAUCUGUAAAAAUGUAUAGCUCUACCUCCUCCUGCUCCCCAUCCCCAGCCCACCACUGGAGCAUUUUUCACUAAAUGCUGAAGAACAGUCCUUAGAGGUAAAGUGGACACUUCAUCUGCCUUACCAGUGCCCAUGCACGUCCUCAUCUUCCUUACCAAGAGAACCCAGAACUGGUUCAGAGAUCCAGGCCUCCCACCUCAGACUCAUAAGAAGAGAGCUUCUCUUCCUCCUCUGGACGCUGUCCUGUGUGUAGCACUCAGGACUGCUGAAGACAUCUAGGUAACAGCUUGAAGGUGAAACCAGCACUGAGGUUUCCUGAUUCCUGGGUGGAGCGCAGACUGGAGCCUAAGCCCUGACAGCAUGUUUCAUUUCAACACAUCAAAUUUUCAUUGAGCAUCUACUGUGUGCCUGGCACUGUGGUCAAUGCCGUGAUAAUAAGGGACUUGCAGCUCAAGUAUAUCUGUGCUUCACUGGAAGAGUUGAAAGAGCUGGAGACUGUCUGUGAUCAAUGAGCCCCUGUCACUCUCAUGACACUUUCCUGAACCAUUUCACCAGCACUCAGAAGAUGAAGACUGUGCUCUACCUGUUCCUUCUCUGAAGCUAGAAGAUCUGGUGUUUCGACUUUGCCCCAGCCAACUGACCACAUUGAGUGAUGUGCUUAGUUUACACUGAAUACCAAGAGAUGGGUGGGAUUGCUGUGCAUAUAUAUUAGCAGGAUUUUGGCUGGAGGCCACUUGUGACCUCUAUUGAAUGUAACUUCCUCACUCAGGAGUUGAUAUGGAACCACUCACUCCUAUUGGCUCAGUGCCCAGAAGGCCUCAGAGAGAGCCCACAAGAUCAACCCGACAGACCCCGGCUUUCCAAAUAAAGAAACGCACCCCCCCCACCCCAGGGUAGGGGUCUUUGUGGGUCCUGCCUACACCCUCCUAGGAUUGCUUUCAGGGGCUCAGAAAAUUAGCAG
rnacentral:lncRNA from 1 species